AUAAAUUUGGCAGAUAAUUGUAUUAGAUUUAGAAUCUAAAAAUAAGAAUUAAAACUUCUUAAUUUAUA
rnacentral:tRNA from 1 species